rnacentral:rRNA from 1 species
UACGUAGGGGGCUAGCGUUGUCCGGAUUUAUUGGGCGUAAAGAGCGUGUAGGCGGCCAGGUAGGUCUGGUGUGAAAACUCGAGGCUUAACCUCGAGAUGUCAUCGGAAACCAUCUGGCUAGAGUCCGGAAGAGGAGAGUGGAAUUCCUGGUGUAGCGGUGAAAUGCGCAGAUAUUCGGAAGAACACCAGUGGCGAAGGCGGCUCACUGGACCGGUAUUGACGCUGAGGUGCGAAAGCGUGGGGAGCAAACAGGG